GGGGAAUCUUGCGCAAUGGACGAAAGUCUGACGCAGCCACGCCGCGUGAGUGAAGAAGGCCUUCGGGUUGUAAAGCUCUGUCGGAAGGGACAAAAACGUUUAGGGUUAAUAGCCCUAGAUCUUGAUGGUACCUUUAAAGGAAGCACCGGCUAACUUCGUGCCAGCAGCCGCGGUAAUACGAAGGGUGCAAGCGUUGCUCGGAAUUAUUGGGCGUAAAGGGUAGGUAGGUGGUUACGUAUGUCUGAGGUGAAAGCCCCAAGCUCAACUUGGGAAGUGCCUUGGAAACGGCGUAACUAGAGUACUGGAGAGGUUCGUGGAAUUCCUGGUGUAGCGGUGAAAUGCGUAGAGAUCAGGAGGAACACCGGAGGCGAAGGCGGCGAACUGGACAGUAACUGACACUCAACUACGAAAGCGUGGGUAGCAAAC
rnacentral:rRNA from 1 species